rnacentral:tRNA from 1 species
GUCAGGAUGGCCGAGUGGUCUAAGGCGCCAGACUCAAGCGUUCGCUUCCUCUACUGAGGGUUCUGGUCUCCGUGUGGAGGCGUGGGUUCGAAUCCCACUUCUGACA